rnacentral:rRNA from 1 species
CCGAGAACGCGUUCGGCACGGACGCUGCAUAGUGUAACGAUCCCAGCCGAUAGCGAACAAGUAGAGUGAUCGAAAGAUGAAAAGCACUUUGAAAAGAGAGUUAAACAGCACGUGAAAUUGUUGAAAGGGAAGCGCUUGCGACCAGACUCGCCCGCGGGGUUCAGCCGGCAUUCGUGCCGGUGUACUUCCCCGUGGGCGGGCCAGCGUCGGUUUGGGCGGCCGGUCAAAGGCCCCUGGAAUGUAGUACCCUCCGGGGUACCUUAUACCAGGGUG